CCUACGGGUGGCAGCAGUGAGGAAUAUUGGUCAAUGGACGAGAGUCUGAACCAGCCAAGUAGCGUGAAGGAUGACUGCCCUAUGGGUUGUAAACUUCUUUUAUAUGGGAAUAAAAUGUUCCACGUGUGGGAUUUUGUAUGUACCAUAUGAAUAAGGAUCGGCUAACUCCGUGCCAGCAGCCGCGGUAAUACGGAGGAUCCGAGCGUUAUCCGGAUUUAUUGGGUUUAAAGGGAGCGUAGGUGGAUUGUUAAGUCAGUUGUGAAAGUUUGCGGCUCAACCGUAAAAUUGCAGUUGAAACUGGCAGUCUUGAGUACAGUAGAGGUGGGCGGAAUUCGUGGUGUAGCGGUGAAAUGCUUAGAUAUCACGAAGAACUCCGAGUGCGAAGGCAGUUCACUGGACUGCAACUGACACUGAGGCUCGAAAGUGUGGGUAUCAAACAGGAUUAGAUACCCGUGUAGUC
rnacentral:rRNA from 1 species